ensembl:rRNA 5S_rRNA 5S ribosomal RNA
GUCUAUGGCCAUUGUAUCCUGAAUGCACCCAAUUGCUCAUCUGAUCUCAGAAGCUAAGCAGGGUUGGGCCUCGUUAGUACUUAGAAGAGAGAAAUCUGGAAAACAAGAACAAAAACC